rnacentral:miRNA from 1 species
UUUAGAAAAGGACAAAUUGACC